AAACUAAGUUUACAUACAAAUAAAAUUUCAAAUCAAACUAUAAAAAUAUCACCGAUCGUCCUUAGUGCAAGUAGCAAAGAGCUUGAUGAUUAGCACCUGUAGUUUUCAGUUCGAAUACUAAUUACUUUAUAGUUUAAUUUAUUUAUAAAAGAAAUGAAUAAAAUGGAUAACAUGCUAUUUUUCUCUCCCGCAAAAAAAAAAAAUAUGAUCAUAAAAGUGUCUAAGGAGCUUAGAUAAUAUUGCAUAGAUAUU
rnacentral:lncRNA from 1 species